rnacentral:tRNA from 1 species
GGAGAGGUGGCAGAGUGGUCGAAUGCGCCGCUUUCGAAAAGCAGUGUACAGGAAACUGUACCGUGGGUUCGAAUCCCACCCUCUCCGCCA